ensembl:ncRNA lncRNA:CR43157 long non-coding RNA:CR43157
GAACAAACGGAGCUGUCAAAUCCAUGUACCCCUGCCCAACCCGAAAUAUAUUCAGUUUGCUUUCAGAGCUCGUCCAGAGCACAUCUCGUUUCGGAACGAAAAAUAUAAAAAUUUCCAAAUUAUUGUGUAAUUGAGUUUCAUGCGUUUUGCUAACUCAAAUACUCGCCAUUGCUUUUUGUAAGUGAAACCAAUGGCACGGAUUGCAAAGCAACCGCUUUACACGAAAACUGAAGAACGAGCAGUAAGAUUCCUUUAACAUUCCUUUAAUUUAAAAAGGACCAACGGUGCAGUUCCUGCUGAAUGAUUAGUUUGUAUCUAAUCUAACAUAUAAUAUACAAAUCGACUUAACACUACAUGCUUAUAUGUAUACACUUGUACACGAAUCUACAAAUAUAAUAUUGUUAAAUCU